GUCGAAGAAACUCAAUGUAUGUGAAGCUUAACAUGGGCAGUAGCCAUUGGAAGGAAAAUUGAUCUAAGGCUAUAUAAUUCCUAUCAAGUCCUUAUUAACAGAUUGAUCCAACAACAACAACAACAACUCAUUAUAAUCCCACUAGUGGGGUCUGGGGAGGGUAGUGUAUACGCAGACCUUACCCCUACGAUGGGGUAGAGAGGCUGUUUCCAAAUAGACCCUCGGCAUUCUUCCCUCCAAGAACUCUCCACCUUGCUCUUGGGGUGACUCGAACUCACAACCUCUUAGUUGGAAGUGGAGGUUGCUUACCAUCAGAGCAACCCCUCUUGUCUAACAGGUUGAUCCAAAUGUUUGCAAAAUGUAAGUUCACUCCUAUUAUAAGAAAUUAUCUUCUUAAUUUUAUAUGCAGCAGAUCAGAGUUGUGACGAAAAUGGUACGCACUUUAUAUUAUUUUACCAGGACAGAGAAAGAGCUUGGAUGUUUGCAGGAGAUGUACCAUGGCAGUAUGUACUUACAUUUUCUGUUCUUUUUAGUUAUUUCAAUCUCGUCGAUGGGCAAUGUUAAUUGAAGUAAAAGUUCUUGUCCUUAGGGUGGAAUACAACAUUACAUUCUGCCCCAACAACUACAGUUGGAAUCUUUUGAACUUGACAGAAUGCCGUAUUUUUUAGUGGUCAACCACACAUUAUUGAGAUUCGUCUUCUUUAAGUACACAAAUUAAAUAGAUGAAGUAGAAGAACCAAAAUUUCGUGUGAUUUCUACUCUAAAUUCUAAAAGCAGCUGAGUUUUCAAAUAACAGGAAGAAUAGAUUUUAAUAAUUACACCAGGCAAAAUAAAGAACAAGAAGUCCAACAUAUUACACUGAGUUCUAAAUAACAUAUGAAAAGGAAGAAAAUUUGAAUAUCUGCUUCAAGUAGCAGUUGUUUCUUUUCAAUAGUCUGUAAACAUAUAUGUACCUGUGAAGUUAACAUUAUUUAACACGGACCCUAUAUUUCACAUCUUCCUCUACUUCAGAGUUGAUAUGUACGUUGAAUUUUUGCCCACUGUAUACCUUUCGUAUGUUAUUCUAUUCAACAACGUUAAUUUAUUUCUUAUCAGUUUUAGUCUCCUGUUCCUUAAUUAAACAACAAUGACAUUCAAAAACUUUAGGAGAUAUACUAAAGAAUUGUUCUUUUUAUAUGGUAGUGACUUUAAUUUUCUCUUGUAGACGCAAAAGCUCCAAUAAAUUGUGUAUGCUUCAGAGGACUUAAACACCAAAUUGUUUGAUGACUAAAACCUUAGUUAAAAACCCUUAAACGAUAGGCACACUACAACACUCUCCUGCACUUUUGCCAACACACACACACACUCACUCACUCUCUCAAGCAGCUACUGUGUUUAGAUGGAGAAGGAAACAGAAAAUAAGAAGAAGCAAACAGAAAUAAAAUUAAACAGUCUUUUGUUGGUUAACUCAAUUUUGGGAAUAUCACCACAGUAGAGUAAAUUGACACACCCAUGCAAGUUUGAUGGGGGGUCCAAAUUCCAAAAGAUAAAACGGAACUCCAGUUCAAUUUUUUCCUAACGAGAGAAUAGAAAGGGUCCAGACUUUAAAAUGACAGUCCACCAUAAAAGACCAGAUUUCAAAUACAAAAGCAAAUAAAAAUCAAGAAGGAGCUUUUCUCGCACAAACAUGAUCAUUAGAAGAGUAAUUAAAACAACAGUUUGAGUUCCCACUUAAAAUUGGUGUGUAAUAGCUUUGAUAGUUUUACCCAAUUUAAAUAAUUUCUAAGCAACAACUAUUCCAAACAUUAGAAAAUAAGAAAGUAAAACUUACCUUGUAACUGUACAAUGAAUGCAAAUAAACUGUGCAGGAAGAGAGAUAAAGGAAAUUGUAAAAGGAGUUGAGCAGCUGGGAAAAUGAAUAGUGAGGCUGUGCAAAGCCGGAGGAAGCAGUACAGAUGUUCAUUUGAGAGGUGUAAGGGAACGUGUCAAAAUUAAGGUAGGGUUUAGCACGUGCCUUAGGCCAAAACAUUUACGGUCUUCCGAAAAUGCCCUGAUGACCCCAAGCUCCUCAACUGUCCCUUAUAAAUAAGAGGAAUAUUAUUAUUAUUCGCCGCCAUUAACGGUUUCCGAUGAGCAAACUCCUCCGUUCUUUACUAUUUUGAUCUUCUGGAAUUAGGAUUUUCGAAAACCGCUUUCCAAUUUUUUCAGUUGAUCUCUAUUUGUUGUUCGUCUAUAGGACUGAUUUCUGGGAUUUUUUCCAUAUUCUGUGUCGGGCGAAAAUCCAUCAGUUGCAAAAAAUUCCUUUCUUUUCUUCUCUUUUGAUUUUUUGUUUUAAUAAUGAAAAUGAUCUUCUUGCUUGUCACAAUGUCAAUAAACGAUAAUCUUGUAUAUUGACGUUUCUUCAAGUGUGUCGUCACCAAAUUCACAUUUUUCUACCGCUGGUGACGGUGACAGUCUGACCCGCCUGUAUUUUUCUUGGAUCCGUGGGUGUUUGUAUGUUUUGCAGGUAUCACUUUUGUGGCUGUUUGGUGGCGGUAGGGAGGUGCACACGCACAAGCAGUAGAGCAGCAACUAUACACCGGGUUCCGCAGCAUCGGGAGUAUACUAAGUCGAAAGAUCCAGGUUCUAUUCGUGGGAAUUGGUGCAUCCUGCCUCCUAUUUCUCUUGUCUCCUGUGUUAAUUACUUUGUUGCGGUAGUAUUUCGUACUAGUCUAGUCAGUCUAGUAGUGGGCUUGUAGUUACUACUUACCCCCUUUGGUGUUCUGUGUGGUGUUUUUUUCUUCUUUAUUUUUAGACCUACGUAGGUAUAGAGCUUGUGGUCUGUAAUGGCAGAAUAGGGUCAUGUUCUCGGGGAG
rnacentral:lncRNA from 1 species